UUUAAUAUCCUACUAAAAGCAUCAUGCCAAUUGAAAUUUCUGAAGUUGGAGAAGUUAUGAAAAUGAACCAUGCCAUAUUCUUCCUUCAAUUUCAUUUUUGCUGCAUCUCUUUGCAACUUAAGGACUAGCUGGUGAUAGCUCUAUGAGGAACAUCUCAUCUCUUUCUCCAUAAGGCUUUCGCAAUUGAAGAAAAUCCUUCCCUCCUGUAACAUGAGAUAGAUAGCGCACCUCACCCCACCUUCUCCAUUUCCUUUUUUACUUUUCUAACAAGUGCUUGAAUUGCUCCUUUAAAAAUUGCUGGUUUUUGUUAUUUUCCAAUCAAGUAGAUGCCCUAGUAGCUUUUUCAAAGAUUUGGCGUGAGGCAGCCAUUCCUUUUUUUUGUUUUUUUUAAUAUUACUUUAAGAAAAUAUAUCUAUAUAACACACACACACACACACACACACACACACACACACACACACAUAUAUGUAAAGAUGCAUCAAGGUUAAAGGGGUUAGUAGGCAUAAUUCCUGUUGAAUAUUUUGGUUUAACAAUUGAUUGCUCUGAGUGUAUUUAAGAGGACCAUGGACCUAUAAUUAGUAUCGAUAUAUCAGGUUCCAUUGCUUUUCUUUAGGAAAAAUUAAUUGAGACAUGAAGCUAAUGUAUAGUUAUAUAAAUAGAGAUUUGUACCUGCUUAUCCACUUAUACUUGUUAUUUGACUUAAUGAAAUUUGUUAGGUAUCUAUUGAUUGCGUUUGGUGGACUUGCUCAGUUGGAAGAGAGCAUUGAAGAGGAUCAUAACUUAAAGGCAAAGAAUGUGCGGGAGGUGUUUGACAUAUAGCAUGAGAGCUUGAAGGAAUAGCAUGAGCUUCUCCAGAAAGUAGUGAAGCCUUUGACGGGUCAUUUAGAGAUCUUAGUACCCAAUGGUGGCCUUAACACUCACCGUUCUUCAGCAAACUCGUCAAUCUACUCAGAAUGUGUGUUUAUGUAUUAUCAAGUGCAGCAAACACUAGUGAAACUUGCAGAUAUAUGGGUACAGAAUGGCACUGUGGGCAGAGCAUGUAGGACUUGUGGAAGAAUGUUUCAAUCAGCCAGAGUUUUGAAUGUGUUCAAAGGGUAAGGUCAUUGGGUGAGCAGAACUGGAGUCAAUACUAGAGCUUCUGCAGGGUCCUUGUCCAUCAUGUGUAGGAUCGAUGGCUUAAGAGAUCGAAAGACUGCUUAUCAUCUUUGCCUACAAGAGAGCUUCUGCAAGAACAAAUGAAGGUGCAUUAAAGGAAAGCAGCAGUAAUCUAUGUAGUUUAGGUCUUCCUAGCUAGAACAUUUUACAAGUACAGACAAUUUUCUAUGUUGUCCUAGCUUGAAUUAUAUGGAUUAUAGUACUGUUUCUAUGGUCAUAUAUUGAACA